GACGGGGGGUCCUAGCGUUGUUCGGAAUCAUUGGGCGUAAAGCGGGCGUGAGUGGCUAUGUAAGUCAGGAGUGAAAGCCCUGGGCUCAACCCAGGAAGUGCUUUUGAAACUGCGUAGCUUGAGUGUGGAAGAGGAUAGUGGAAUUCCUGGUGUAGUGGUGAAAUACGUAGAUAUCAGGAGGAACACCGGCGGCGAAGGCGGCUAUCUGGUCCAACACUGACACUGAGGCCCGAAAGCGUGGGGAUCAAACAGG
rnacentral:rRNA from 1 species